CACGUAGGGCGCGAGCGUUGUCCGGAAUUAUUGGGCGUAAAGAGCUCGUAGGCGGCCUGUUGCGUCCGCUGUGAAAGCCCGGGGCUUAACCCCGGGUCGGCAGUGGAUACGGGCAGGCUAGAGGUAGGUAGGGGAGAAUGGAAUUCCCGGUGUAGCGGUGAAAUGCGCAGAUAUCGGGAGGAACACCGGUGGCGAAGGCGGUUCUCUGGGCCUUACCUGACGCUGAGGAGCGAAAGCGUGGGGAGCUAACAGG
rnacentral:rRNA from 1 species